rnacentral:rRNA from 1 species
UACGGAGGAUCCGAGCGUUAUCCGGAUUUAUUGGGUUUAAAGGGUGCGUAGGCGGCCUAUUAAGUCAGGGGUGAAAGACGGCAGCUUAACUGUCGCAGUGCCUUUGAUACUGAUAGGCUUGAAUGUGGUUGAAGAUGGCGGAAUGAGACAAGUAGCGGUGAAAUGCAUAGAUAUGUCUCAGAACACCGAUUGCGAAGGCAGCUGUCUAAGUCAUUAUUGACGCUGAUGCACGAAAGCGUGGGGAUCGAAC